rnacentral:rRNA from 1 species
GUGUGUGAAGAAGGCCCUCGGGUUGUAAAGCACUUUCAGUGAGGAAGAACGCCUGGUGGUUAAUACCCAUCAGGAAAGACAUCACUCACAGAAGAAGCACCGGCUAACUCCGUGCCAGCAGCCGCGGUAAUACGGAGGGUGCGAGCGUUAAUCGGAAUUACUGGGCGUAAAGCGCGCGUAGGUGGCUUGAUAAGCCGGUUGUGAAAGCCCCGGGCUCAACCUGGGAACGGCAUCCGGAACUGUCAAGCUAGAGUGCAGGAGAGGAAGGUAGAAUUCCCGGUGUAGCGGUGAAAUGCGUAGAGAUCGGGAGGAAUACCAGUGGCGAAGGCGGCCUUCUGGACUGACACUGACACUGAGGUGCGAAAGCGUGGGUAGCAAACAGGAUUAGAUACCCUGGUAGUCCACGCCGUAAACGAUGUCGACCAGCCGUUGGGUGCCUAGCGCACUUUGUGGCGAAGUUAACGCGAUAAGUCGACCGCCUGGGGAGUACGGCCGCAAGGUUAAAACUCAAAUGAAUUGACGGGGGCCCGCACAAGCGGUGGAGCAUGUGGUUUAAUUCGAUGCAACGCGAAGAACCUUACCUACUCUUGACAUCCUGCGAACUUGUGAGAGAUCACUUGGUGCCUUCGGGAACGCAGAGACAGGUGCUGCAUGGCUGUCGUCAGCUCGUGUUGUGAAAUGUUGGGUUAAGUCCCGUAACGAGCGCAACCCUUGUCCUUAUUUGCCAGCGCGUAAUGGCGGGAACUCUAAGGAGACUGCCGGUGACAAACCGGAGGAAGGUGGGGACGACGUCAAGUCAUCAUGGCCCUUACGAGUAGGGCUACACACGUGCUACAAUGGUCGGUACAAAGGGUUGCCAACUCGCGAGAGUGAGCCAAUCCCGAAAAGCCGAUCUCAGUCCGGAUCGGAGUCUGCAACUCGACUCCGUGAAGUCGGAAUCGCUAGUAAUCGUGGAUCA